UACGAGGGGGGCGAGCGUUGUUCGGAAUUAUUGGGCGUAAAGGGUGCGUAGGCGGUUCCGCAAGUCCUGUGUGAAAUCUUCGGGCUCAACUCGAAGUCUGCACGGGAAACUGCGGGGCUUGAGUGUGGGAGAGGUGAGUGGAAUUCCCGGUGUAGCGGUGAAAUGCGUAGAUAUCGAGAGGAACACCAGAGGUGAAGACGGGUUGCUGGGCCGACACUGACGCUGACAGCGCGAAAGCCAGGGGAGCAAACGGG
rnacentral:rRNA from 1 species